rfam:Myceliophthora thermophila ATCC 42464 chromosome 7, complete sequence.
GGUUCUGUAGUGUAGCGGUUAUCACUUCGGAUUCUGAUUCCGACAACCCCGGUUCGAGUCCGGGCAGGACCU